rnacentral:rRNA from 1 species
GACGAACGCUGGCGGCGCGCUUAACACAUGCAAGUCGAGCGAAGCGGCGGACGGGUGAGUAACACGUGAGUAACCUGCCUUAGACAUUGGGAUAGCCUCGGGAAACAGGGAUUAAUACCAAAUGGUCUAAGAUGGACUCGCGGCCCAUUAGCAAGUUGGUGAGGUAACGGCCCACCAAGGCGACGAUGGGUAGCCUGCCGUAGAUGGGCAACGGCCACAUUGGAACUGAGAAACGUUCCAAACUCUACGGGAGGCAGCAGUGGGGAAUAUUGCACAAUGGAGGUAACUCUGAUGCAGCGACGCCGCGUGAACGAAGAAGGCUUUCGAGUCGUAAAGUUCUUUUAUAUGGGAAGCGGUACCAUAAGAAAAAGCCCCGGCUAACUACGUGCCAGCAGCCGCGGUAAUAC